UGUGGAGGACUGUGGGGCUGAUGGGUGUGGCCAGGAGGGAUAUUAGGGAAUUUGGGGACCGUGGUGGAUCCCUGAUCCCACUCCAUCCCACCCCAGUCCUUCAACACCUACUUCAGCAACGAGCACAGCCGGCUCCUGACCCUCUGGCGGCAGCUGGUGGCCUUCAGGCGCCACUUCGGGGAGAUGAAAGCCACCACCGAGAGGGACCUGUCGGAGCUGGGCCACGAGGUGUCGCGGACGGGCCGCGCCGCCCACGCCGCCUGCCUGCACCUGGCCGCCAACCUGCGGCUGGCCGAGAGCCAGGCGGGCGCGGCCCGGGAGCGGCAGGAGCUGCGCCUGGAGCAGCUGCAGGAACAGCUGGCGGCGCGGGCACGGGACGCGGAGCUGGAGAAAAACACCCUGGCAGCCAGGCUGGCAGAGCUGACAGCAGCCCUGGAGCAGAUGCUGGAUGCUGGUGCUGGAGCUGGGGAGCUGGAGGGAGAUGA
rnacentral:lncRNA from 1 species